rnacentral:rRNA from 1 species
UACGAAGGGGCUAGCGUUGUUCGGAAUUACUGGGCGUAAAGCGCACGCAGGCGGUUCGACCAGUCAGAAGUGAAAGCCCCGGGCUCAACCUGGGAAUUGCUUUGAUACUGUCGAGCUUGAAUCACGGAGAGGGUAGUGGAAUUCCGAGUGUAGAGGUGAAAUUCGUAGAUAUUCGGAAGAACACCAGUGGCGAAGGCGACUACCUGCCGUUGAUUGACGCUCAUGUGCGAAAGCGUGGGGAGCAAACAGGG